UGCGCAGGCGGGCUUGUAAGUCAGUGGUGAAAUCUUGCCGCUUAACGGUAAAAUUGCCAUUGAUACUGCAAGUCUUGAAUAUGGUUGAGGUAGGCGGAAUGUGUUGUGUAGCGGUGAAAUGCAUAGAUAUGACACAGAACGCCAAUUGCGAAGGCAGCUUACUAAGCCAUUAUUGACGCUGAGGCACGAAAGCGUGGGGAGCGAACAGGAUUAGAUACCCUGGUAGUCC
rnacentral:rRNA from 1 species